GUUACAGCUUUGGUUCAAAUUUCAUAAAUCAUGAACCGAUGUACAGUAACUGCAAAUGUAAACAAAUAGGUGAACGCACACCCAGUAUACAGACUGUUAUUUGCCUUUAAGACUCCUAAGUCACAUAUCACUGAUAUAACAUUCGUAGUAAAUUUGUUGUUUCAAGAUCACUGUAUAUUAUUUCUCAUGAUUCAGGAUUGGUACCCCCCCCCCCUUCCAGACAAACAGAAAUAUAGAUGAUACAUCCCAAAAAAUAAAUAUGAAAUUAACUCACACACACAAAGGUUUCAAGAUACUGUGUAUAAUUUCAUUCACAACUGUAUUUUAAACUACAUACAUACGGAAACCAACCUGUCACUCGACCAGUUAAUUGUUUCAAAAUAUUCUGCUUUGAUAACUACAUGUUUAAUACACAUGAAGAAUUUCGUUUCCAUAGAUGUCCCCUCUGAUUUAUCCUUCCAUAAAUGAUAAAAGUACAAUAAAAUCCCAAGUGAUAUUCUUUGGUCAAUACAUAAAAAUUACUUAUAAUCAACAAUGUUUGUUUAAUUCUUUAUAAAACGUCGCACACAAGCAGCUGCAUUGGAUACAAAAUAGACAGUUUAAUUAAAGACAAAUCACUCGACUAGUUUUCUCUCAGUUUGAUCUUCGUCCUUCGAUCUUUGAUAAGUAUUACCGUUAGCUAUUCCACAAUUUGUUGAAAGAAAGCUCGUAGAAUGCAUAGAUAAUAUAUACCCACUCUUAAAUCUCACUAGGAAAGUUUUAUUUAUCAUAAUAAUAUAAAUACUGUACUCGAAAACUUCGCGUCUUCGCGCUGCCAUGUUUGAUAAAAUCAAUCGACUUCGCUCCCCCCGGAUUGAAAACUAAA
rnacentral:lncRNA from 1 species